rnacentral:lncRNA from 1 species
GCACAUGGGAAAAGCAUGAGAAUUAUAUAGAUUAAAAAUGUUGUGCUUAGUACUCAGCUCAUUGAAUUUUCAUAUAAUAGUAACUACUGUUCUUCUGUUUACUUGAGGUUUGGGAUUUUAUUUAAAACUCAGAUUCCCUUCACCCAAAAUAAAAGCAGAGUAUGUUUUGUAUGUAAGUAUAAAGAAAAAAACAUUUUGGCAGUUAACAUUUCCUUAUUUAUAUAAAAAGAUGGUUAAUAUUAUGAUUAUUGUGCCUACUUGAAACUUCAUAUCACUUAAUAUUCUGAUUUUGAUGAUUUAUUCUUGAAGAAUCUCUGUCUUGAUUUUAAUAAAACCUAGGUAAUUCUUUUGAAGUAUGUGAACAGAUACAGUUGUGAAAGCAUUUGUCGUUAUCUACAUAGCACCAGUUUAUAAAAUUAAAUACAUCUGUCUCAGUCUCUGCACUGCAGUAUUUUAGAGUAGACUGAUAA